GCAUAACAGCUGCACCAACACAUAGGUGCUCACACCACCAACGGACAAUAACCGACAAAGACAGAGGGAACAUAUAUACUGAUCAGGGGAAAUGGGAAGCAGGUGUGUGUUAUCAGACAAGACAGUCCGGGGGUUGAUGAUAAUGGAACCAGGUGUGUGUUAUCAGACAAGACAGUCCGGGGGUUGAUGAUAAUGGAACCAGGUGUGUGUUAUCAGACAAGACAGUCCGGGGGUUGAUGAUAAUGGAACCAGGUGUGUGUUAUCAGACAAGACAGUCCGGGGGUUGAUGAUAAUGGAACCAGGUGUGUGUUAUCAGACAAGACAGUCCGGGGGUUGAUGAUAAUGGAACCAGGUGUGUGUUAUCAGACAAGACAGUCCGGGGGUUGAUGAUAAUGGAACCAGGUGUGUGUUAUCAGACAAGACAGUCCGGGGGUUGAUGAUAAUGGAACCAGGUGUGUGUUAUCAGACAAGACAGUCCGGGGGUUGAUGAUAAUGGAACCAGGUGUGUGUUAUCAGACAAGACAGUCCGGGGGUUGAUGAUAAUGGAACCAGGUGUGUGUUAUCAGACAAGACAGUCCGGGGGUUGAUGAUAAUGGAACCAGGUGUGUGUUAUCAGACAAGACAGUCCGGGGGUUGAUGAUAAUGGAACCAGGUGUGUGUUAUCAGACAAGACAGUCCGGGGGUUGAUGAUAAUGGAACCAGGUGUGUGUUAUCAGACAAGACAGUCCGGGGGUUGAUGAUAAUGGAACCAGGUGUGUGUUAUCAGACAAGACAGUCCGGGGGUUGAUGAUAAUGGAACCAGGUGUGUGUUAUCAGACAAGACAGUCCGGGGGUUGAUGAUAAUGGAACCAGGUGUGUGUUAUCAGACAAGACAGUCCGGGGGUUGAUGAUAAUGGAACCAGGUGUGUGUUAUCAGACAAGACAGUCCGGGGGUUGAUGAUAAUGGAACCAGGUGUGUGUUAUCAGACAAGACAGUCCGGGGUUGAUGAUAGUGAAUCCCGUUCAGUGAAGCCUAGAAAGCUGGUGACGGAGAACUCCGUAACUGGUGAACAGAAUGAGCAUCAGUAUCGGGGGGAUCCGUGACAGUUACCAGGAACCUGUCUGCCCAUAUCCAACCUAUUUAUCUCACCAUUUCAGUGUUACAACCACCAGUAUAGAACUAACAUAUGAAACCCAGCAUUAAGCCCCACCUCUCAUCUCCACCAGGUAGUAC